AAGGGCAGAUACAGCUUUUAAAGAGAGAAAUGCUUCAGGAUAGACCUGUUGUCAUUAGAGAUGGCUCACAGAUGGAUCUCUGUAUCCUGAAGUUCCCAGAAAAUGGAAUAAGGUGUGGAAGAGGUCAUCUUUCUGAGUCCAGUCACCUGCUCACGUCUGCUAGCCAAACUGAUAGACCUAAACUUGAAUCCCAAUAAUGCCUCAUGCUACCAUCACAUCCCCUGAGCUGCAGACCUGAACUAAAAAAGGCAUGAUGG